rnacentral:rRNA from 1 species
CCAGACUCCUACGGGAGGCAGCAGUGGGGAAUAUUGCACAAUGGGGGGAACCCUGAUGCAGCGACGCCGCGUGGGUGAAGGAGCACCUCGGUGCGUAAAGCCCUAUCGGCAGGGAAGAAACAGACGGUACCUGACUAAGAAGCCCCGGCUAACUACGUGCCAGCAGCCGCGGUAAUACGUAGGGGGCAAGCGUUAUCCGGAUUUACUGGGUGUAAAGGGGGCGCAGACGGCGAUGCAAGCCAGGAGUGAAAGCCCGGGGCCCAACCCCGGGACUGCUCUUGGAACUGCGUGGCUGGAGUGCAGGAGGGGCAGGCGGAAUUCCUGGUGUAGCGGUGAAAUGCGUAGAUAUCAGGAGGAACACCGGUGGCGAAGGCGGCCUACUGGACGGUGACUGACGCUGAGGCUCGAAAGCGUGGGGAGCAAACAGGAUUAGAUACCCGUGUAC